rnacentral:lncRNA from 1 species
AAAACACACACUUGGUGUGUUCUGGUCGCGCACAAACACAGAGCCAGGAGAGGCUCCCCAAGCUCAAACCCUAGUUAUCAAGAAUUGACUAAAUUGAAGGCCAAAUUCCGUUCCAAAUCGCAAUCCAAGCAUAGAAUAAUGAUCUCCUCUGAAAGAGGAUCAUAAGGCAAGGAAAUCGGAACGUCAAGCGGACAAACUAAUGGCGAUACGCGUUUGAAGGGGGCGCUUGGAAGGUGAUGUUGGAUUUAACCGAGAGAUAAUCGAGCUAGCUUUUGAAGAACCGAACACUACCUACAAGCUUCCGCUUUAGUUUUACUCUUAAUGGACUAUGUUUUGGGAAUGUCAACAAUUAACAAUUAGCUUUCGAAUGUUUUAACUUAGUACUAAGUUAACUAAACUCUUGCCACUUAUGAAUUUCUUCAAAUAUUGGAUGUGGGUUACGCAUUUGUUUCUACUUCUGUCGUAAUGUCAUCAAUUGAAGCCCUAAUUUGUGGUCGGGGUCUGCUAUAGUUGGUGGAUAUUUCGAUUAAGCUGGUUCUGGAAGUGGCGCGAAAGUUGGUGGAGAAUAAGGUUAGAACGGCUUGUGGAUAAUCAAUGGGUUCUCAACAAUUGUCCUCCUAUCACUGUUGCAAUCAUGACCCUUGCUGUGAUGGCCAUGAAGUUAUGUUGUAUGAGUGUUCUGCGUUGAAGUUGCGGAGGUGGUAGCAUCAUGCGUUGUUCUUUGCAAGUCUGAUACACUUGACUAAAAAGCCUACAAUUCAUCUUCUUCGUCGAUUCAGUAUCAAUCCAUUCGUCACACAGUGAAGGAGCUGAGAAAGUGGAGUUUCUAAAGUCAGAGGGUGUGGAUCAUAUUGUUGAUAUCAGCAAAGAAGGUGUUAUUGAAAGUGUGAAGGCGUUUUUGAAAACAAGAAAGCUCUAAGGGGUUGAUGUUUUAUAUGAUCCAGUUGGAGGCAAGCUUGCAAAAGAAAGCUUAAAGGUGUUGAGUUGGGGAGCACAGAUUUUGGUUAUCAGGUUCACGAGUGGGGUGGUCUCAGUUAUUCCUGUUAAUAUUGCUCUUGUUAAGAAUUGGACGGUUAUUUUUGUAGUUUUGGGCAUCAUUAUUCCACUAUCUGUUUGUAUGGGGCGAUCGGUUUGAAGUGUCUUGCUUUAGAAAACUACCAAAAAUGGCACAUUUUCCCAUUUGUCGUAGGGGACAACGUUUGAACUUCAGAAGCAAAUGGAACCCUGACAAAGAUUGUUGUGUGCAAUUUUUUAUGGUAGUUCAGUGAUACAGGCAAUUGACGAGUUUAUUUCGUGAGUGCUGCUUCUAAUGAAUUCUUCAAACAUGAGAAGGUGUUGUCAACCAAUGAAAGGAUGAUAUGGGGAUAUUGCAGGACAAAAUUAAUGCUUUGUUGGGACUUAUGCAGAGAUCUAAUGAACUAUAACUUGAAAGACACUUGGAAAGCUUAAAAGAUGAAAUGUCCUCACAAAUUUACGCUCCGAGCUUAUGGCUUUAAAGUCUUGAUUUGUUUAGGUUGAUACUAAUUUUGAACUUGCAUGGUAGUUUUUUAUAUUGUUUUACAUGUUAUUUUUUCUUGUAGAACAAAAAGUCAUGAUUUCUCUACAUCACCGAAUAUUGUCGCUCCAAAACAUGCUAGAACCUUUUUGCAGGUGUACAUGAAUAGAGAUGAGGUAA